AUACUGAAAUGCUAUGGCUUUUUAACGUAAUCUGAAACAUUUAAGUGUGACAAAAAUGCACACUCUACCACAGUGAAUUGGGAGGGAAGCUUAAUAUCAGCUGAGUGAUGUCACAUGAUAUCAACAUAUUGACGUUUGUGACACAUACAAUUAACGGACUACCUUUGCUCGCGAUUAACGUAAUGAGCACGCCUGGCUUAAACAGUCAAGUCCACCCUUCCCCUUAAGUCACGAUGCUAUGUGUCUACAUGUUAGCAUUACUAGUAUUGGAACAGUCUUAUGGGAUGAGGACAGUGAUCUUCACAUGUGUGACACAGCUAGAGUUUGGAACUCGUGCCAUCUUGACUGAUUUAUGGUCUCCAAGUUAAAUGAUAAAUUAUGACAUCCACUGGGGACACUUUUGUUCACAUUUAAGUUUAACAUGUUGGCUUUGUUUUAAGAUGAUGUUUGGUCAUUUUUAAUAGUUUGCAAUUUUCUCAAACAAGUUUAGUAUUGGCCCCACAAAGGAGUCCAAAGUCUGUAAUAUGAUAUGUAGCUAGAUGGGUGGAGGCCAGAACCUUAACUUUUUCUCCUGUUGCAAAAGGACAUGAAGAUUCUAACAAUUGGUCCACAUUUGUGCUACUUGAAUAGCGACUGACACCACGGAUCACUAUAGUCCAUACGAAAUAUCAAUGACGAAGAUGCUAAACUUCUUAAACGUCUUCUUGUCCAUCAAGACAUCAUAUUAUUUAAGGAACGGAUCAGUACUCACUGUCCUGGGCCUCAGCGGUCCUAACAAGCAGAAAGCCAAGGAGAACUGAUACUAAGAACAUUCUCACAGCAACAGCGUCCAUGACUCUUCUAGUUGUCACAUCAGGUCUGUCUCAGUGGAUGUGUUUUCUACUUAUCUGCUCGGCUUUAUGAGCGUGAUGGACUUUUCCCCGCCAUAAAUGCAUAACAUGCCCACGUCUGUUUGCCCAAAGCCAUAUAAGCCUCAAGGCACUUUAACAGGAGCACAUAUGUUUUACACACAGUUACUUAUCAAAGUUGCAAUUAACUUGUCUUUAAUGGGCCUGUCUUGGACAGUCUUGACUCGUGACAACAACAUCAGGUAGUGCGUUUACAUGAUAUUGAUAUACAUUAUAAAUGAUGUUAUGCAGUGUGGUGAAACACAAACCCCAAAAGGUGUGAUCAAACACAUUGUCACCACUCUUACCUCUCAUGAGAAUCUUUUGAUCAUGUGACUCUACCUGACAUGGUGUGCUGAGAGAGGAGGGCUGACGGCACCAACAACUGAGGCACUGAUGACAUCACGGCCAUGAUGAUGGUUACCUGAACACAGAGGCUCUUGACUGGAGAGACUCCAAGACGUCCACUCUUGUAGUGUUCAGGGAUGAUUCCGAUGCGCAGUGAGCAGCUGAUGAGUGUUUCAUCUGGACAGUUCACGUCGAUGCCGCCAUCAUUCUGCGUGUGGGAGACCAAGCCGUGCACAAUCUCGCUGAACAUGCCAUCGCCGCCAACGCACACCACACUGAGGGCGGCUGUUAGCUGCUCUCUGAUGACGCUGACCCAGUGAUGACACAGCGCCACCUCUGGACACGUGAAGGUGACCUCGGCACACCGCCAGCGGUGCUGACGACACCUCUCCACGUAAAACACUUCAACACAACACAAUAACAAUGUUAAAAUGAUAAAAUACAUUAACUGCUGUGUUUAUUUAACUACAAGAGGUAGUAAUUGGAGAGAUGUUAUUUCCUUACUGUGAAAACUCAAUCUUAAAAUAUUUUGAAGUUAGCUGUUUUUGACCACAUGUUCAUUUAUGAACACAUUUUAUAUAUUGCAAAACACUGCAGCAACAGAACCAAUGUUGUAAUAGUGUAAGAAGCAAACUGCUGAACCAGCAUUAAUAUCACUGAUGACUGUAAACAACAACGUCAGAUACUGACCACUUCAAAUACUUCAUAUCAAUCUAGAGUCGCAACUGUUGUUAACGUCAAUGUUUUUGACACAGUGCUAAUGAGAAACACCCAGUGACUAUAGGACACCAGUUAUGGUUAAUUCAAAAGUGUUCUUAUUUGGAACAUUUACAUUAAUUUUCAAUGUGGUCAAUAUGAAGAAAAGUUGUCUUUAUUCCUAUCUACAAGGUGUUAUUCCUGUGUAUUGAUGUAUUUGUACAUUGUAUUUCCAUUCAUGUAUUUGUGUAUCACCUGUGAAAGACCGCCUGCAGUCUUUCAUCUUCUUCCAGCUGCCAUCUUCUUUGCUGCUCUCCUCCACUUCUUCUCGAAUGCUGAUAAUCUCUGAUACACGCACGCUGUGACACACACCUGCUCACACACACAGGCACACAAUCAUAUCGCAUUUUAAAAUCCAACAUUGAAGUGGUACAUGAACGCACCAAUACACAGCACGUUGACUCCACAUUCACAAAUCUAUUGAAUUAUAUUGUAAUGCCGUGUACUAAGCUGUAUAUAUAAUAUAUUUAAUGCAGUGAUUAUGUUAACUUGAAUGUAUCUGCCUUCCUCUGAUUAGAUUGCACAACACAGAAAAUGAAUGAAUGGAUUGUCGUUUUCCUCGAAUCGACUCAGAAAAAACAACUUCCUCAGUUUCCAUUUAAAAAGUCAGCACACGCCAUCAACUGUUACAUAAUCAUAAUUACACACUAACACAGGGAAGACAAUGCGCGCACACACACGGCUGGAUGUCACUUGAUAAGAAUUCCAAAAUGUCCUGUUGAGAUUUUUGGGGACACAUCGGCGCAUGUUGUUGUCGUAUUAGAAGAUACAACAAAUCAAUAUACAGAGCACAACAACAGCUUGUUGAGGUAUUUCAGAUGUGAAGUACGCUAUUUGUAUUUACUUUUGAUAGGACUCAUUUGGAACACAACCCAGAGAAAAAACAUUGUACACAUGAUUUGGUCUGCAGGCGAGAGGAGGCCCAGCAGAAGAUCUCCUACCUUGUUCUGGGCCAUGACAGAACCAAGGAACAUAAAACCCUGCAGGGCAAACGCCACCAUACACACGCAACAGGCACCAUGGAAUGUAACUCAAGAGUUCAAUCAGUAGCUAAGAAGAAGGCAACACAUUAAAGAUUCAUUAACAUAAUUAACGUAAUGUGAUACACAGCUGGACUGAGGGAAGUUGAAACAAUGACCAGAGCCGACAUGUUUCAAGCUCAAUUAUCUACUAAGCCUUUAUUUUGAAAUCAAUGACACACUUCCAUGUCAACAUGUCACAAGAAGAUUACAUGUGUCUUCAAUCUAGAAUGAUUAACCACACAACACAACUUUUUGUUACUUUAGGUACAAGUUUUAACCUCAAAUGGCCUUUUGUGGUUGUAGAACUAAUGUAUUGUAUUCUGCAUUGUUUUCGUUAUUGUCAAACAUUGUAACAAAACAUAUAAACAAACGAACACUAUUUAGCCAUUAGUCAAUCACCUUCUUUUCUGUUAUGUUUAUUGUCCAUUUUAAUGAAAAAUAGCUGAUGUCGAUGUCAGGAGCCCACCGGAUGUUGCUAGUUACGU